AACGACUCUCGGCAACGGAUAUCUCGGCUCUCGCAUCGAUGAAGAACGUAGCGAAAUGCGAUACUUGGUGUGAAUUGCAGAAUCCCGUGAACCAUCGAGUCUUUGAACGCAAGUUGCGCCCGAAGCCUUGGCUGAGGGCACGUCUGCCUGGGCGUCACAC
rnacentral:rRNA from 1 species